GACGAACGCUGGCGGCGUGCUUAACACAUGCAAGUCGAACGGAAAGGCCCUGCUUUUGUGGGGUGCUCGAGUGGCGAACGGGUGAGUAACACGUGAGUAACCUGCCCUUGACUUUGGGAUAACUUCAGGAAACUGGGCCUAAUACCGGAUAGGAGCUCCUGCUGCAUGGUGGGGGUUGGAAAGUUUCGGCGGGUGGGGAUGGACUCGCGGCUUAUCAGCUUGUUGGUGGGGUAGUGGCUUACCAAGGCUUUGACGGGUAGCCGGCCUGAGAGGGUGACCGGCGACAUUGGGACUGAGAUACGGCCCAGACUCCUACGGGAGGCAGCAGUGGGGAAUCUUGCCCAAUGGGAGGAAGCCUGAUGCAGAAACGCCGCGUGCGGGAUGACGGCCUUUGGGUUGUAAACCGCUUUAGCCUGUGACCAAGCGUGAGUGACGGUAAUGGGUAAAGAAGCACCGGCUAACUACGUG
rnacentral:rRNA from 1 species